UGGGGAAUUUUGGACAAUUGGGCGAAAGCCUGAUCCAGCAAUGCCGCGUGUGUGAAGAAGGCCUUCGGGUUGUAAAGCACUUUUGUCCGGAAAGAAAUCCUUGGCUCUAAUACAGUCGGGGGAUGACGGUACCGGAAGAAUAAGCACCGGCUAACUACGUGCCAGCAGCCGCGGUAAUACGUAGGGUGCAAGCGUUAAUCGGAAUUACUGGGCGUAAAGCGUGCGCAGGCGGUUUGCUAAGACCGAUGUGAAAUCCCCGGGCUCAACCUGGGAACUGCAUUGGUGACUGGCAGGCUAGAGUAUGGCAGAGGGGGGUAGAAUUCCACGUGUAGCAGUGAAAUGCGUAGAGAUGUGGAGGAAUACCGAUGGCGAAGGCAGCCCCCUGGGCAAUACUGACGCUCAUGCACGAAAGCGUGGGGAGCAAACAGGAUUAGAUACCCUGGUAGUCCACGCCCUAAANGAUGUCAACUAGUUGUUGGGGAUUCAUUUCCUAGUAACGUAGCUAACGCGUGAAGUUGACCGCCUGGGGAGUAC
rnacentral:rRNA from 1 species